rnacentral:rRNA from 1 species
AUUGAACGCUGGCGGCAGGCCUAACACAUGCAAGUCGAGCGGAUGAAGGGAGCUUGCUCCUGGAUUCAGCGGCGGACGGGUGAGUAAUGCUUAGGAAUCUUGCCUGGUAGUGGGGGAUAACGUCCGGAAACGGGCGCUAAUACCGCAUACGUCCUGAGGGAGAAAGUGGGGGAUCUUCGGACCUCACGCUAUCAGAUGAGCCUAGGUCGGAUUAGCUAGUUGGUGGGGUAAAGGCCUACCAAGGCGACGAUCCGUAACUGGUCUGAGAGGAUGAUCAGUCACACUGGAACUGAGACACGGUCCAGACUCCUACGGGAGGCAGCAGUGGGGAAUAUUGGACAAUGGGCGAAAGCCUGAUCCAGCCAUGCCGCGUGUGUGAAGAAGGUCUUCGGAUUGUAAAGCACUUUAAGUUGGGAGGAAGGGCAGUAAGUUAAUACCUUGCUGUUUUGACGUUACCAACAGAAUAAGCACCGGUAA